rnacentral:ncRNA from 16 species
CCGUCGAUAGCUCAGUUGGUAGAGCGGAGGACUGUAGGUAUCCUUAGGUCGCUGGUUCGAAUCCGGCUCGACGGA